ACUUCCGGGUCAGCCAGUUGGCGGCCUGGGCGUGGCGUUAGCUAGGGUUGGUGGCCUCCCAGUGAGUGGAGAAGUUCGCCUCCGCGCGGGUAACGGAGUUUCUAAGCGUCAGAGAAGAUGCUGGCCAUUUGUUUGCAAAGUUCUCUCAGGCCUCCGAUUUUCUUAUUUUAAGUUUUAGGCGAAACCUCAAGACACACUCCCAGAGAGUCAGACACCUUCCUGAACCCCCCCAGCAAGGUCCCCGGGCAUUCCUGAAGGAAUGUUCAACUGAGGAUGCAGGGCUUCUUAACAGUUAGUCCCGGGCGUUUUUCAGAGCUUGUCCGCUUUAUUUUCCCAGCCUGAGAGAUGAAGAGGUCCAGAGGCAUUGCGGCGGAGCGAGUCCCUAUUUGACCGUAGGCCCAGGAGACUCAUUAUGUAAUCUUUAGAAAAGAACAGAAGAAAAUGUCUAGAGAGAAAGCGCCAUUCCAGGAUCUGCGCAUAGAAACAGCUAAGGAGAUGGUGUAACUGUGACAGAGGUGAAAGCCAUAGACAGGUUCAAACAUAACUGGAAAUUUAGAAAGGGAGUAGGAACUUCAUUUUGGCCACAGUAGAGGUUCAGUCUGAAACCUCUUCAGUAACUAUCUAAAAGCUGCUGGUUUUCACCAUGAUUGUGAGCUGUUCAUUUUCAAGGUGCUGAAUAGCUGAGAAGGAAGAAUAGGAAUAGGGUACCUGGUGCACCACCAGUCUGAAACCACCUUUAACCAAGUUCACAGUUUGGGUUCCCUGGAUGUCUUAGUCCGUUUAUGCUGGUAAAACAGAAUACCACAAACUGGAAUUUAACAGAAACAAGUUGGAAGAAAAACCAUGUGAAAGCCUGCAAUGAUAUUUUCACCUUUUUUGUGGAAAGAAAUAGAUACAGAAUUGGUAGUAUUUACUAUUAUGGCAUUUUGCUUUUGAAGGAGAAGAACCUGUAUGGUCAUGAAAAUCCAACAAAAAAUAAAAAAUACAAAUGACUAUGCGAGAUUUGCCAGUUAAACACAGUUUUUUAAAAUGAAGAGGACAUCUAAUAAAGGCAGGAGUUUAAAGCUGGAAUCCCUUUGACCUUGGCCACAGCAAACAGAAGAUUAAUGAAAUGAAGCUGAAUGACAGUGCUGGCCCAACAUUCGCAACAUUCAUCUUUUCCCUUCAGUUAUUUUACCACUGGGUCUCAAUUCAUUUCACCUGACUCUUCGACUCUCUUCUACUUCUCAUGACUGGGGGAAUUCCUUUACAUGUUGGACUGGAAAUUUGGAUUUGGUGGUCAUCAGUGUGAAUGUAGUAGCUAUGAGUGAUGAUGAUGUCAUCCAAGGAGAGUAAAUAAAUGUGAAAGAGAAGAAUGUCAUCAAUAGGACAAAGCCCUGCCUGAAAACCCUCAUUUCUCAUGUCAGCUUUAAUGUAUUGCCUCAAUAAUUUUUUUGUCAGUAUUUGAAAAGUUUUCAUUAGCUAAAUAUAUAAAUACAUAAAUAAAGCUGACAUUUACGGU